ACUUGGGUAAUUUUAAAAGGAAAGAAAAGAUGAAUGACUGUCCCCAUCAAUCUUCUCUUGUUGCUGCUGACCCCCUUUCUUCCAUGGCUUCCCUCAUCUUUUUCUUCAUUUUUGUCUUCAAAUUUCCCAAAAACCUAAUACCCAACUUUGAGAUUUUGCUCAAAUCUCUUAGGAAAUAACCUCCAAACUAGUUUUCCACAAUCAUCUCAUCAAAUUUUAGCAAGAGUUUUCAUGGAGUUAGAGAUAGAAAAUGGAAGCUUGAGAGAGAACUUCAUAAAUGAUUGGUGAUGAUGUUUUCUACUCCUCCUAACUUAACAUUUGUGAGUUGUGUUAUGAGAAAGCUAUGAAAGCUCGUGGAUUAACACAUUGUUAUAUUUUUAUUUAUGAGAAAAAAUUGGAAAUAAUGGAAAUGGAGUUUUCAAGGUUUGGUAAAGGAAGAUUCAAGGUGUUAGGAAGCUAAUCCUUGAUUUUUGCACAUCGAAGAGUAGAGGAGAUCUGGUAAAGUUUAACCUUAAACCAGAACACACUUUAAAACGAGCAUGGAGAACUCUCAUCCUAAGAGAAGAUCCACUAGUGGUUGAUCCACUACAUGAAAAUUCGUUGUAUGAGGACCAACCGAAGCAAAUACUACCAACAAUAGAACUAGUUCCAUAGAUUGAAGAGUCGAUGGCAAAGUAGAACUGCUCGUUGUGUGACUACUCAUGUAACCUCCCUAGCCUGGCCUAAACAUUAUAGCUAGAUUGAGAAGGCUAUAUUAGCCACCGAAAUGGCUAGGCUAACUUACGUUACUUUUGAAAACCUUAAAUAAACUCAUUUUAGAGAAAAAAAAA